rnacentral:rRNA from 1 species
CGAAUGCUGACAUGAGUAGCGAUAAAGCGUGUGAAAAGCACGCUCGCCGAAAGCCCAAGGUUUCCUGCGCAACGUUCAUCGGCGCAGGGUGAGUCGGCCCCUAAGGCGAGGCCGAAAGGCGUAGUCGAUGGGAAACGGGUCAAUAUUCCCGUACCGAUCACAGAUGCGAGUGGGGGGACGGAGAAGGUUAGCUCAGCCGGGUGUUGGACGUCCCGGUUUAAGCGUGUAGGCGUGCUGCAUAGGCAAAUCCGUGCGGCUUAGCCAAGGCGUGAUGACGAGGCACUUCGGUGCUGAAGUGAGUGAUACCCUGCUUCCAGGAAAAGCCUCUAAGCUUCAGUCUGUGAUUGACCGUACCGCAAACCGACACAGGUGGGCAGGAUGAAAAUUCUAAGGCGCUUGAGAGAACUCAGGAGAAGGAACUCGGCAAAUUGAUACCGUAACUUCGGGAGAAGGUAUGCCUCGGUAGCGUGAAGCCCCUGCGGGGUGGAGCGUGAUGAGGUCGCAGAGAAUCGGUG